GGACUUUUAGCUCAGUUGGUUAGAGCACUCCGCUCAUAACGGAUAGGUCGAUGGUUCGAGUCCAUCAAGGUCCA
rnacentral:tRNA from 1 species